rnacentral:rRNA from 1 species
UUAUGACAACCUGGUUGAUCCUGCCAGUAGUCAUAUGCUUGUCUCAAAGAUUAAGCCAUGCAUGUCUCAGUACAAGCCAAAUUAAGGUGAAACCGCGAAAGGCUCAUUAAAUCAGUUAUGGUUCCUUAGAUCGUACCCACAAUUACUUGGAUAACUGUGGUAAUUCUAGAGCUAAUACAUGCAAACAGAGCUCCGACCGGAGACGGAAGGAGUGCUUUUAUUAGAUCAAAACCAAUCGGUGGCGGGUUCGCGCUCGUCAUCGUACAACUUGGUGACUCUGAAUAACUUUACGCUGAUCGCACGGUCAUCGCACCGGCGACGCAUCUUUCAAAUGUCUGCCUUAUCAACUGUCGAUGGUAGGUUCUGCGCCUACCAUGGUCGUAACGGGUAACGGGGAAUCAGGGUUCGAUUCCGGAGAGGGAGCCUGAGAAACGGCUACCACAUCCAAGGAAGGCAGCAGGCGCGCAAAUUACCCACUCCCGGCACGGGGAGGUAGUGACGAAAAAUAACGAUACGGGACUCAUCCGAGGCCCCGUAAUCGGAAUGAGUACACUCUAAACCCUUUAACGAGGAUCAAUUGGAGGGCAAGUCUGGUGCCAGCAGCCGCGGUAAUUCCAGCUCCAAUAGCGUAUAUUAAAGUUGUUGCGGUUAU